rnacentral:rRNA from 1 species
UACGUAGGGUGCGAGCGUUGUCCGGAAUUAUUGGGCGUAAAGAGCUCGUAGGCGGUGUGUCACGUCGGCCGUGAAAACCUGCAGCUUAACUGUGGGCGUGCGGUCGAUACGGGCAUCACUGGAGUUCGGCAGGGGAGAUUGGAAUUCCUGGUGUAGCGGUGAAAUGCGCAGAUAUCAGGAGGAACACCGGUGGCGAAGGCGGGUCUCUGGGCCGAUACUGACGCUGAGGAGCGAAAGCGUGGGGAGCAAACAGG